rnacentral:rRNA from 1 species
CCUACGGGGGGCAGCAGUGGGGGAUAUUGCACAAUGGGGGGAACCCUGAUGCAGCGACGCCGCGUGGGUGAAGGAGUGCUUCGGCAUGUAAAGCCCUAUCGGCAGGGAAGAAGCAAGACGGUACCUGACUAAGAAGCCCCGGCUAACUACGUGCCAGCAGCCGCGGUAAUACGUAGGGGGCGAGCGUUAGCCGGAUUCACUGGGUGUAAAGGGAGCGGAGACGGCCAUGCAAGCCAGGGGUGCAAGCCCGGGGUCCAACCCCGGGACUGCCCGUGGAACUGCAUGGCGGGAGUGCGGGAGGGGCAGGCGGAAUUCCUGGUGUAGCGGUGAAAUGCGUAGAUAUCAGGAGGAACACCGUCGGCGAAGGCGGCCUGCUGGACCGCGACUGACGUUGAGGCUCGAAAGCGUGGGGAGCGAACAGGAUUAGAUACCCGAGUAGUC